rnacentral:SRP_RNA from 1 species
AAGUGGACUAGGUCGGGCAGUUAGGCCCUGCUCACUUCCCGCAAUAGAGUCUUUAGCGGGGACCGAACGACGGGCGCGUCCGGUCUGACCGGCACGGGCCCCGAAAGCCAACGUAGAAACCUCGUCCUGCGGGGACAGCGGCUCGACGAAACACGUCCGCAGGGACGUCGACUCGUCGUUCAUCGGUGGCACUGGGUCAGGCGCGGAAGCGAGCAGCCCACCGCCGGACGUGCGUCGCUCGUAGGGUCGCGGGGUGGAGGAGGCAACCGGGAUUACCCGUGCCGGAACGCCGGGCAACCCCGUCCUGUCCGCAU